rnacentral:rRNA from 1 species
AUACGUAGGUGGCAAGCGUUGUCCGGAUUUACUGGGCGUAAAGGGCGUGUAGGCGGAGAUGCAAGUCAGGAGUGAAAUCUAGGGGCUCAACCCCUAAACUGCUUUUGAAACUGUAUCCCUUGAGUAUCGGAGAGGCAGGCGGAAUUCCUAGUGUAGCGGUGAAAUGCGUAGAUAUUAGGAGGAACACCGGUGGCGAAGGCGGCCUGCCGGACGACAACUGACGCUGAGGCGCGAAAGCGUGGGGAGCAAACAGGAUUAGAUACCCUGGUGGUCCACGCUGUAAACGGUGAAUACUAGGUGUGGGGGGACUGACCCCCUCCGUGCCGCAGUUAACACAAUAAGUAUUCCACCUGGGGAGUACGAUCGCAAGAUUGAAACUCAAAGGAAUUGACGGGG